GCGUAAAGCGAGUGUAGGUGGCUCAUUAAGUCACAUGUGAAAUCCCCGGGCUUAACCUGGGAACUGCAUGUGAUACUGGUAGUGCUAGAAUAUGUGAGAGGGAAGUAGAAUUCCAGGUGUAGCGGUGAAAUGCGUAGAGAUCUGGAGGAAUACCGAUGGCGAAGGCAGCUUCCUGGCAUAAUAUUGACACUGAGAUUCGAAAGCGUGGGUAGCAAACAGGAUUAGAUACCCUGGUAGUCCACGUCGUAAACGAUGUCUACUAGCCGUUGGGGUCCUUGAGACUUUAGUGGCGCAGUUAACGCGAUAAGUAGACCGCCUGGGGAGUACGGCCGCAAGGUUAAAACUCAAAUGAAUUGACGGGGGCCCGCACAAGCGGUGGAGCAUGUGGUUUAAUUCGAUGCAACGCGAAGAACCUUACCUGGUCUUGACAUAGUGAGAAUCCUGCAGAGAUGCGGGAGUGCCUUCGGGAAUUCACAUACAGGUGCUGCAUGGCUGUCGUCAGCUCGUGUCGUGAGAUGUUGGGUUAAGUCCCGCAACGAGCGCAACCCUUUUCCUUAUUUGCCAGCGGGUUAAGCCGGGAACUUUAAGGAUACUGCCAGUGACAAACUGGAGGAAGGCGGGGACGACGUCAAGUCAUCAUGGCCCUUACGACCAGGGCUACACACGUGCUACAAUGGUAGGUACAGAGGGUUGCUACACAGCGAUGUGAUGCUAAUCUCAAAAAGCCUAUCGUAGUCCGGAUUGGAGUCUGCAACUCGACUCCAUGAAGUCGGAAUCGCUAGUAAU
rnacentral:rRNA from 1 species